rnacentral:rRNA from 1 species
AGUGAACGCUGGCGGUAGGCCUAACACAUGCAAGUCGAACGGCAGCACAGUAAGAGCUUGCUCUUACGGGUGGCGAGUGGCGGACGGGUGAGGAAUACAUCGGAAUCUACUUUUUCGUGGGGGAUAACGUAGGGAUACUUACGCUAAUACCGCAUACGACCUACGGGUGAAAGCAGGGGAUCUUCGGACCUUGCGCGAUUGAAUGAGCCGAUGUCGGAUUAGCUAGUUGGCGGGGUAAAGGCCCACCAAGGCGACGAUCCGUAGCUGGUCUGAGAGGAUGAUCAGCCACACUGGAACUGAGACACGGUCCAGGCUCCUACGGGAGGCAGCAGUGGGGAAUAUUGGACAAUGGGCGCAAGCCUGAUCCAGCCAUACCGCGUGGGUGAAGACGGCCUUCGGGUUGUAAAGCCCUUUUGUUGGGAAAGAAAAGCAGCAGGUUAAUACCCCGCUGUUCUGACGGUACCCAAAGAAUAAGCACCGGCUAACUUCGUG